UAGCAGUAGGGGAAUCUUCCACAAUGGGCGAAAGCCUGAUGGAGCAACGCCGCGUGUGUGAUGAAGGGUUUCGGCUCGUAAAACNCUGUUGUAAGAGAAGAANGACAUUGAGAGUAACUGUUCAAUGUGUGACGGUAUCUUACCAGAAAGGAACGGCUAAAUACGUGCCAGCAGCCGCGGUAAUACGUAUGUUCCAAGCGUUAUCCGGAUUUAUUGGGCGUAAAGCGAGCGCAGACGGUUAUUUAAGUCUGAAGUGAAAGCCCUCAGCUCAACUGAGGAAUUGCUUUGGAAACUGGAUGACUUGAGUGCAGNAGAGGAAAGUGGAACUCCAUGUGUAGCGGUG
rnacentral:rRNA from 1 species